GACCCCUCCAGGGCCUCAAGAAAGAGUGGAUAGGGAUAUAAGUAGAAAACACUGUACUUUAUUGUAUUUGAUUGUUCUGUACUUCAUUGAGAAAAGUGUUCAAAUAGUUUAUUUAAAUGUUACAUAACAACUUAUUUUUUAAUCAAAGGAUAGAUUUCCAAAGGUUUAUGAGAGCAAUUUUAUAUGAGGUUAAAGUAAGAAAAAGAAGCUUCACUUCUCCCACUGUAGUAGCACUGGGGCUCCUUGAAUCACUCCCAGAGAAGCAGAGAGCAAAAACCCCAAAUUCAUCCUCAGGGAACCCUCAACCUAAAUCCCCUCUCCCAAUAUACCUGCAGAGGCCAGAGAAGACCUCAUUUAUUUGCAGGAUGUUAGUCUCAGACCAAACUCAAGAUUACUAGAAAGAAAGGGUAUGUAGGUAAAGAGAAUGUUUUUCCUGCAAGGUUAACACUUUGUUAUGUAUGUCUUCUGGCAUGCAUCAGAAAAAUGAUCAGAAUUGUUUUUAUUUGAAUGUUUGUGUUUAAAUGCUGUAGGAGGUUUUGUUAUUAAUAAGUUUCCCACAUCAAUUGGGGUAGCACAAAAUGAUAUCUGUGGAAAGACAAGUUUGCCAAAUAAAGGCUGAACUCAUGCAAUUCAUUUCUGUGCCAUGCUGAAUGUUUACAUAGCUAUUUUGUUAAUUUUGUUUGUAGUUUUAGAAUCGAUAGAGCACUUAAGAGUAAGGUGGAAAAUGUUCAUAGGCAAGUGUGCAUUAUAUUCUGUAUUGUAUUCAUUUUAAAAUAUGUGUAUGUAUUUCUCAAAAAUUUUCCUAAAAGUUGUAUGAUUGUAAUGAACUAUGUUUUUUCAUUUGACUGUUUUAAAAGUACAUAUUAGAUGUAAUGUAUAAUUCUUAAAUUUUUUGUUC
rnacentral:lncRNA from 1 species